GUGCAAUGAUGUAUUGUCAACACAUCAUUCUGAAGAAAAUGGUGACUUCCUUUGACUGAGCACA